rnacentral:rRNA from 1 species
UACAGAGGGUGCGAGCGUUGUCCGGAAUCACUGGGCGUAAAGGGCGCGUAGGCGGCUUGAUAAGCGUGCGGUGAAAGCCCGGGGCUCAACCCCGGGUCGGCCGUGCGAACUGUCGAGCUGGAGCAAGCUAGGGGGUAAUGGAAUUCCCGGUGUAGUGGUGGAAUGCGUAGAUAUCGGGAGGAACACCAGUGGCGAAGGCGGUUACCUGGAGCUUUGCUGACGCUGAUGCGCGAAAGCGUGGGGAGCGAUCCGG